rnacentral:lncRNA from 1 species
UCUCAUAUGAGGCUGGGUUAACAAUUCUCUGAGCUUCAUGGAGUCUUUGCCUACUAUUCUGAAGGAACUCUUAAUGAAGAUAGGAUCAAUUUUUGUCCCCAUACAGAACUGACAUUACUUUUGAGGUUCACAAGCUAAUCACAAAUGCUACAUCAAUUAUUGUUCUGCAAAUAAUAUAUUACCUUGAGUUGUUCCAAAGGUCUUAUGUUUAUUGGCUGGAAUUUUCCAAUAGCAAUGAGGAGUCAAGGAAGAGUUUCCUACUCACCGGCAGCAUCUGGAAUAGCAGACCAACUUUCCUCAUGCUGGGGAGCAAAUCAGGUGUUGCAGCUAAGGGGCCAUGCAAGAAGAGCUGCAAUGGCCAUUCCCUUCACCUGGCUACCUCCUCUACUCUACAGGGCACCGAGCCCAAUGGAGAAGGUUGGGAGUGGAGUAGCAGUGAUGUGAUGAAUUACUUUGCAUGGGAGAGAAAUCCCUCCACCAUCUCAAGCCCCGGCCACUGUGCGAGCCUGUCGAGAAGCACAGCAUUUCUGAGGUGGAAAGAUUAUAACUGUAAUGUGAGGUUACCCUAUGUCUGCAAGUUCACUGACUAGUGCAGGAGGGAAGUCAGCAGCCUGUGUUUGGUGUGCAACUCAUCAUGGGCAUGAGACCAGUGUGAGGACUCACCCUGGAAGAGAAUAUUCGCUUAAUUCCCCCAACCUGACCACCUCAUUCUUAUCUUUCUUCUGUUUCUUCCUCCCCGCUGUCAUUUCAGUCUCUUCAUUUUGUCAUACGGCCUAAGGCUUUAAAGAGCAAUAAAAUUUUUAGUCUGC